GAUAAACGCUGGCGGCGUGCGUAACACAUGCAAGUCGAACGAGAAUGUACUGACAGAUCCUUAGGGUGAAGAUAGUACAGGACAGUGGCGGAUGGGUGAGUAACGCGUAAGAAACCUGCCUUUCACACCGGGAUAGCAGCUGGAAACGGCUAUUAAUACCGGAUGACACUUUUUCCCCGCAUGAGGAAGAGGUUAAAGAAUUUCGGUGAAAGAUGGUCUUGCGUCUGAUUAGCUAGUUGGUGGGGUAACGGCCUACCAAGGCGACGAUCAGUAGCCGGCCUGAGAGGGUGUACGGCCACAUUGGGACUGAGACACGGCCCAAACUCCUACGGGAGGCAGCAGUGGGGAAUUUUGCACAAUGGAGGAAACUCUGAUGCAGCGACGCCGCGUGAACGAAGAAGGUCUUCGGAUUGUAAAGUUCUGUC
rnacentral:rRNA from 2 species